rnacentral:lncRNA from 1 species
GCAGGUGGUGCGGAGAAGAAAGUUUAAAGAGGUGCGUGGAUAAGCUCCGUAUAUUUAUGCCCAUAAAAUUGUGGAAGAAAAUACAAUAAAUGUUUGGUAGAGGUUGUCUCUGAGUGGUAAUUAUGUUAUUUUUAUUUUUGUCUUAGAUUUUUCCACAAUGAACAUUUAUUUUCAUAAGAACAAAAAAAGACAAAAGUAAAAAUAACUAAUGCUUAUAUAACAUUUACUCUGCGCCAGGUGUUGCAAAAUCCUUUUGUUGUUGGCUGCAGCGUGCAGCGGCUUGAUGUGGGAUCUCAGUUCGCAGACCAGUAGCAGUGAAGCUCUGAGUCCUGACUGCUGUACCACCAGGGAACUCCCGAUAUAUUAACUGAUUUAAUUCUCACGCAGUCCUAGCAGAAAGUAUCAGUACUCUCAUCAUUUUAUAGAUGAAGAAAGUGAGGCACAGAAAGGUUCCCAAGGUCCCAGAGCCAGUUAAUUACAGAGCCAAGAUGAUAACUGAGACCAUGGCUCCAGAGUCCUUAGGAAAGUAGGUCUCACAGCUUAUCAGGAACUUUUCCUCUCUUUUCUCCUUGUGGAAAAACAGAUUCUUAAAGUUCCCUAAACACCACCUCCUACAUGAAGUCUUCCUGGUCUACCCAUCUUCCUUCAUAGCUGUUAGCUCCUUCCAUGUCAGUACUUCCUUUUUGCAACUGAGUUGCAGUUUGUGCCACACAAGUAGGUUAAGUUGAUUUUGUGUGUGUGUGUGCCAUUUUAACUAUUUUUAAGCAUGCAGUUCAUUGUCAUUAACUACAUUCACAAUGUUGCGCAACCAUCACUGCUGUAUGUUUCCAAAACUUUUUCAUGAGUGCAAGCAGAAACCCUGUUAACUAUUAAGCAAUAACUCCCCAUUCUUCUUUCUCCCCAUUCCUUGGUAACCCCUAACUUACUUUCCGUCUCUAUGGAUUUGCCUGUUCUAGAUAUUUCAUGUCAGCUGAAUUUUACAGUAUAUGUCCUUUUGUGUCUGGCUUAUACUUAGCAUAGUGUUUUCAAAGUUCAUCCAUGUUGUAUGUGUCAGAAAUUCAUUAUGGCUGAUUAAUGUUCUGUUGCAUGGAUAUACCACAUUUUGUUUAUCCAUUCAUCCGUCAAUAAACACUUGGGGAGUUCCCGUUGCAGCUCAGCGAUAAUGAACCCAACUAGUAUCCACGAGGAUCAGGGUUCAAUCCCUGGCCCCGCUCAGUGGGUUAAGGAUCUGGUGUUGCCGAGAGUUUCAGUAUAGGUUGAAGACGUGGCUCAGAGCCUGAGACAUGGGUCAGAUGCUGUGGCUGUGACCUGCAUCUGCAGCUCCAAUUCGACCCUUAGCCUGGGAACUUCCAUAUACUGCAGGUGCAGCCCUAAAAAGGAACAAAAGACCAACAAGAAAAACCACUUGGGUUGUUUCUACCUUUUGGCUAAUGUAGAUAAUGCUGUAAAGAACACUGGCAUUUAGUGAUCUAUUUUGAGUUCCUCUUUUUUGUUUGUUUGUUUUUGUUUUUUGUCUUUUUGCCUUUUCUAUAGGGCUGUUCCCGCGGCAUAUGGAGGUUCCCAGGCUGGUGGCUACAGCUCCCACUCGCUCCCUAGCUUGGGAACCUCCAUAUGCCGCGGGAGCAGCCCAAGAAAUAGCAAAAAGACAAAAAAAAAAAACCAAAAAAGACCUUGGUGCUGACUGUUGCUGCAGCCUAAAUGCAGCCCUCCUCUCAAUCCUCAACUGGCUCUUUCCCAUCCUCAGGUUUCAGUUCAAUUCUUUUAAUUUUUUAUCAAUUUGUUUCUUUUAUUUAUUUUUUGCUUUUUUGAGGGGCACCUGCAGCAUAUGGAAGUUUCCAGGCAAGGGGUCCAUUCGGAGCUGCAGCUGCUGGCCUACACCACAACAGCAGCAAUGCCAGAUCCUUAACCACUGAAAGAGGCCAGGGAUCGCACCCAAUCCUCAUGGAUAUCAGUUGGGUUCGUAACCCGCUGAGCCACAACGAGAACUCUCAGAUUUCAAUUCAAAUGACACCUCUGGGAGUUCUCUUAUGGUGCAGUGGGUUAGUUAAGGAUCCAGGGUUGUCAGUGCUGCCACUCGGAUCACUGAUGUGGCUUGGAUUCGAUCCCUGGCCCAAGAACUUCCACAUGCCCUGAGCACAGCCAAAACAAAGAAAUGCACUUCUUCAGUGAGUCCUUUCACCACCCUCUAAACCAGUAGCGCUGAUCCUACAGUCACUCUCUAUGUCAUCCCUCUUUUAUUUUCCUUGUAGCACUUAGCACUCUUUGAGAUAGUUUUCUUUACUUGGUGAACUUGUUCAGAGACUGUUUUACUAGAUAUGAGCUCCAGAAGUGUGCACGCCCUGUCUAUCCUGUUUGCUGCUCUGUGCAAACAGUAGUGCUUAGUACACAGUAGGCCUUCAGCAAUUACUAGAUAAAUGAGUGAAUGAAUGCCCGUAUGCAUUUUUUUUUUUUGUCUUUUCUUUUCUUUUUUUUUUGCUAUUUCUUGGGCCGCUCCCGCAGCAUAUGGAGGUUCCCAGGCUAGGGGUUGAAUCGGAGCUGUAGCCACCGGCCUACGCCAAAGCCACAGCAGCUCAGGAUCCGAGCCGCAUCUGCAACCUACACCACAGCUCACGGCAACGCUGGAUUGUUAACCCACUGAGCAAGGGCAGGGACCGAAUCCGAAACCUCAUGGUUCCUAGUCGGAUUCGUUAACCACUGCGCCACGACGGGAACUCCCCCGUAUGCAUUUUUGAAUCAUUUUCGGAUGUCUGUCAAGUCUGUAUGUUAAUGUGUGCUCAACUCAAAUAGGCCUUAUGUCAACUCUGGCUCCCUCCACUCUUCCCUGAGCUCUGGAGGGCAGGAACCAUGUCCAAUCCAUCAUUGCACCUUGGAGCAGUUCUGCAAGUGCACUGCCUACAGUGAAGGGCCAGAAUUUUAAAUUUCCAGUCCACUGCAGACUGGUACUUUUGAAAAAUACAGUAACAAUGUUAGGGAAAUGUCAGCUUGCUAGAAAACUUUUUGAAAGCUUAUUCUCGAUUUCUGUGCUUAUAGUGUCCUGAGCAGGUGAUGAACAGUUUACAGUUUGAGUCACACUGCCUUAGAGGUCCGCACAAUACAUGGUAGGUAGAUGUCAGUGUUUAGAACACUGACUUUUUCUUUCUUCCUCCCUCUCUUUCUUUUCUUCCUUCCCUUCCUUCCUUUCUUCUUUCACCACCCCACAACACAUGGAGUUCCCAAGCCAGGGAUCAGAUCUGAGCUGCAGUUGCAACCCAGGCCACAGCUUCGGCAAUGCAGGCUCCUUUAACCCACUGUGCCAGGGUGAGGAUCAAACCUGCAUUCCAGGGCUACAGAGAUGCUGCCCAUCCUGUUGCACCAUAGCAGGAACUCCUGCCUUGACCUCUUAGAAAACCAAGACAUCAUCUACAUGGGAUUAAAGACAAAGAAGGAGGGGAACAGGGGAACAGACUUCGUUUAUUGCAAAACAUCUAGUAAAUGCCAACUGUUAGAUUGAUGCUGUCCACUGGAAAUUUUUUUUUUUAAGGCCGCACCUGCUGCAUAUGAAGUUCCCAGGCUAGGGGCCCAAUCGGAGCUGUAGCUUCCGGCCUUUGCCACAGCCAUAGCAACUUGGGAUCUGAGCCACAAUGCAACUUACACCACAGCUCACAGCAACGCCAGAUCUUUAAUUCAUGGAGCAAGGCCGGGGAUCGAACCCACAUCCUCAUGGAUACUAGUCCAGUUCAUUACCGCUGAGCCACAACAGAACUCCUGCAACUUUUUGCGGCAAUGUAGAUGUUUUAUAACUGUGCUAUCCAAUAUGAUGGCCACUAGCCACAUGUGUCUGUUGAACACUUGUAAUGUGGCAAGUCAAGGAAUCAAAUUUUCUGUUUUUAUUUUAGUUAAUUUAAAUAGCCACAUAUAACUAUUAGCAAACACUUUUUUUUUUCUUUUUUGUAUGUACCUGCUGCAUGUGAAAGUUCCCAGACCAGGGAUCGAACCCACGUCACAGUUGCAGCCUUUGCCACAGCUAUGGCAAUGCCAGACCCUUAACCCACAAGGGAACUUCCUAAUGGCAAAUACUUUUGAUAGUGCAGUUAUAACAAGUUAUAUCUUUGAAAACAAAAUGCCUCCAUCUUUAGCACCUGAUAUCCAAUCAGUUUCCAAGAUGUGUCCGCUCUUCUGCCUAAAUGUUGGUCCAGUCAGACCUUUCUCCAUCCCCCAACUCAGUGGAUAGUAAUCCUGCUCAGAGUCAUGCAUCCUUGAUUUCUCCCUCUCCUUAAAUACUCCCUCUCCCUAAAUAUUCCCUCUGCAACCUCCAAUUUAUCACCACGUCCUCUCAGUAUUAUCUCUUAAGCACCUUACAGUCCCCUCUAAUUCUCCAUCUCUACCACCACCAUUACCUCUCACCUAGACAGUAGCCCCCAAACCAGCUUCCUUGCAUCAGGUCUUGCUCACCAUUCCCAGCCCCUAGUGCUCUUCGGAAAACCCUUGAGUGGCUCCCCAUUAUUUAUUAGGAUAAAGACAAACCUCUUCCUGAGCCUACAACCCCCUCCAUAGUCCUUGGUCUGGCCCUAUUCCUACUGCUGUCUAGGUCAAACCCUUCCUUCCUUCCUUCCUUCCUUCUCACUCUCUUUCUCGCUUGCUUUCUUUCUUUUUUUUUUUUUUUUUUCAUUUUUUCAUAGAAGGCUGUCUUGAUCAAUGCAGUUCUUCUUUGAGCAUCAGGCAUAGUUUCUUUCUUUUUUUUUUUAGUUUUUAGGGCCGUACCUGUGGCAUAUGGAGGUUCCCAGGCUAGGGGUCAAAUCGGAGCUAGAGCUGCUGGCCUACAUCUCAGCCACAGCAAAGGCAGAACGGAACCGUAUCUGCAACCUACACCACAACUCACAGCAACGCUGGAGCCUUAACCCACUGAGCAAGGCCAGGGAUCAAACCUGCAACCUCAUGGUUAUUAGUUGGAUUCGUUUCUGCUGCACCAUGAUGGGAACUCCAGGCACAGUUUCAACUUUACUUUCAUUUGUAUUGAGUUGAUUAAUGGUCUUCCACACUCCCCCAACUAGACUACCAGCUCUGUGAGGACCAAGAAUGGGCUGGUUUUGCUCAACAUUUUAUUCCCCUGCCUCACACCUGGUGAUGAUGUUCAAUAAAUAUUUGUUAUAACGGCAGUUUAGGGAGUUCCCUGGUGGCUCAGCAGGUUAAGCCAGCAUUGUCACUGCUGUAGCUCUGGUUACUGCUGUGGUGAAGAUUUGAUCCCUGGUCC